UAAAUCACAUUGGAAUUGAGGGAAGACUUUUGGGACCACGUCCUCAUCCGCCGCGCAAUACACGACGUCCACAGCCACGCCCCUGUGGUACAAGACCGCUUGGCCGCAAAUAACACCUGGACACGAGGAACAACGGCAAGAAGAAUUCUGCAAGAAUCUCCGUGAAGCGCACUCCAAGUGGAAAUGAAGAAAAUCAAACCUGAACAAACACACUAAACACGCUACAGAUUAUGCGAAGAAUGGUUCACACGUCUUGGUACCCAGUCCAGGAAAACUGCCUAUUAGUGCUCACCUAACCUAACUAUGAGAUACUGUGGGCCCGUCCCCUUUGCUUGCAUAAUGUAUACAACAAAAAUAUUUCCUCAAUAUCUCUAGACAUAUACAAGCUAAGAUUGUUUAAAUUAUUCAGAGACAUUGCUAUUAACAAGCAUGCGAUUGCCAUCCGUCGCAGCUUGUGCUGGUAAUAAAUUUUGUUUGUUUUUGUUUA